rnacentral:misc_RNA from 1 species
UUUUGUAUAACAACGAGCCAAGGUCCCAUCUGCAAGCUUGCUUGCAAGGGGGACUUUGGCGACUGUAGAGCACCGAAAGGCUUUGCCUUGAGGUGCGAAACAGAGUUGAAAUCGAGUAGGGUCAGCCUACUCGAUUAGAACAACGAAA